ACAAAUUAAUAAGUGCAAAUGGCGGAUGCCUAGGCACCAGAAGCCGAUGAAGGUCGUAGGAGGCUGCGAAAAGCCUCGGGGAGCCGCCAACCAGGCUUCGAUCCGAGGAUUACCGAAUGGGGAAACCCGGCUGGAGUAAUGUCCAGUCAUUUCUCUCUGAAUAAAUAGGAGAGUCAAAGGUAACGAGGGGAAGUGAAACAUCUCAGUACCCUCAGGAAGAGAAAACAACCGUGAUUCCGUUAGUAGUGGCGAGCGAACGCGGAAGAGGCUAAACCAAUCAUGUGCCAAGCCGGCAGGCCUUGCAUGAUCGGUGUCGUGGGACUAAAUGAAAUUAACUGCCGUUAAUUUAACAAGUCAGAAAAUAAUGAAAUAGAUGAAGGACGUGGGAAAGUCCGGCAUAGAAGGUGAGACCCCUGUAGUCGAAAUUUCAUUAUCUUGUUUUUAGUAUCCCAAGUAAUACCGGACUCGUGUAAUCCGGUAUGAAUCUGGCGGGACCACCCGCUAAGCCUAAAUACUCUCUGGUGACCGAUAGUGAACAAGUACCGUGAGGGAAAGGUGAAAAGAACCCCGCAAGGGGAGUGAAAUAGAAUCUGAAACCGUUUGCAUACAAACCGUUGGAGCUGCCUUGUGCAGUGACAGCGUGCCUUUUGAAGAAUGAGUCUACGAGUUAGUGUGAUGUGGCAAGGUUAACCCGUCGAGGGGAAGCCGUAGCGAAAGCGAGUCUGAAUAGGGCGAAUAAGUCGCAUCAUCUAAACCCGAAGCGAGGUGAUCUCGCCAUGACCAGGUUGAAGCGCGGGUAAGACCGCGUGGAGGACCGAACCCACUAAAGUUGAAAAUUUAGGGGAUGAGUUGUGGCUAGGGGUGAAAGACCAAUCAAACUUCGUGAUAGCUGGUUCUCUCCGAAAUGCAUUUAGGUGCAGCGUCACGUGUUUCUUACUGGAGGUAGAGCUACUGGAUGGCCGAGGGGUCCUACAAGAUUACCAACGUCAGCCAAACUCCGAAUGCCAGUAAGUGAGAACGUGGCAGUGAGACAGUGGGGGAUAAGCUUCAUUGUCGAGAGGGAAACAACCCAGAACAGCAACUAAGGUCCCAAAGCCUGUGCUAAGUGGAAAAGGAUGUGAAGUCGCAUAGACAACCAGGAGGUUGGCUUAGAAGCAGCCACCCUUAAAAGAGUGCGUAAUAGCUCACUGGUCAAGUGAUUUCGCGCCGACAAUGUAACGGGGCUCAAGCACAGCACCGACGUUCUGUCAUUCACACACUAUCCCGGUCGCAAGAUCCAGGAGUGUGGAUGGGUAGGAGAGCGUUGUGUAACUAGUGAAGCGGCGGAGGAAUCCAGCCGUGGAAGUUACACAAGUGAGAAUGUAGACAUGAGUAGCGAAAGACGGGUGAGAAACCCGUCCACCGAAUGACCAAGGGUUCCUGAGCUAGGCUAAUCCGCUCAGGGUAAGUCGGGUCCUAAGGCGAGGCCGACAGGCGUAGUCGAUGGACAACUGGUUGAUAUUCCAGUACCCGCAAUAAACCGUCCAUGACGAAUCAAUAAUGCUAAGUGUUUGAAGUUGGCUAGCAAUAGCUGAUGGAGCGCACGACCCAAGUUGUUAGUAGUCAAGCAAUGGAGAGACGCAGGAAGGUAGUCCAACCCAGGCGAUGGUUGACCUGGGGUAAGAGUGUAGGAGGUUCUGUAGGAAAAUCCGCAGAACAAUCUCUGAGACUUAAUGCCGAGCCGUAAGGCGAAGUGGAUGAUCCUAUGCUGCCAAGAAAAUCUUCUAGCGAGGUUUAUAGUGGCCCGUACCCGAAACCGACGCAGGUGGUCAGGUAGAGAAUACCAAGGUGAUCGAGAGAAUCGUGGUGAAGGAACUCGGCAAAAUACCCCCGUAACUUCGGGAGAAGGGGGGCUAAUUUUUGUGUAGAGGUUUACCUUCGAAGCAUAAGUUAGACGCAGAGAAUAGGCUCAAGCGACUGUUUACCAAAAACACAGGUCCGUGCGAAGUUGCAAAACGAUGUAUACGGACUGACGCCUGCCCGGUGCUGGAAGGUUAAGGGGACUGGUUAGCCGCAAGGCGAAGCUGAGAACUUAAGCCCCAGUAAACGGCGGUGGUAACUAUAACCAUCCUAAGGUAGCGAAAUUCCUUGUCGGGUAAGUUCC
rnacentral:rRNA from 1 species